AUACUCUGGUUUCUCUUCAGAUCGUAUAAAUCUUUCGCCUUUUACUAAAGAUUUCCGUGGAGAGGAACAAUUAAAAAAAGAAAAAAAGAAAGUAAUAAGGAGAAACAUACACCUACUCU